AAAAAAGUUGAUUGCGAUAGAGAGGCAAAUGUUGAAGCUUUAGUGUCAUUACUUGAUUGCUACUUUGACUUGCAUUAGAGUUUGAGCACUUGAAGUAUAGUGAAGUUCAUGCGAAAUGCUUAAUAAUUCAUAUGCUUGGGAGUAAUUUUUGGCACCAAUCGAAGUCAUGUUUCUCUGUUUAUAGUAGACCUAUUUGGCUUGGCAUGAUAUGGAUGCAUUGUUGAGUUAACUACUUGGGAGGAGAUUUUGUCGCUUUAACUGCUUGAGGACAAGCAAUAGUUUAAGUUAGGAGG
rnacentral:lncRNA from 1 species